ACAAGUAAGAAAGGGCGUACGGUGGAUGCCUAGGCUCUUGCAGGCGAAGAAGGACGUGAUAAGCUGCGAAAAGCCCCGGGGAGGUGCAAAUGACCUUUGAUCCGAGGAUCUCCGAAUGGGACAACCCGGCAGGCUGAAGGCCUGUCAUGCCGCUCAUGCGGCAGGCGAACGCGGGGAACUGAAACAUCUUAGUACCCGCAGGAAGAGAAAAUAACAAUGAUUCCCCAAGUAGUGGCGAGCGAACGGGGAGGAGCCCAAACCAUGCGUGUUCCGGCACGCAUGGGGUUGUAGGGCCGCGACAUCGCAAGAAACAUGGUGAGUGGAAAAGGUUGGAACACCUUGCCAUAGCGGGCGAACGCCCCGUACACGAAGCCAUGCGAAGCGUAGCGGCACCCUGAGUAGCGCGGGACACGAGAAAUCCUGUGUGAAUCCGGCGGGACCAUCCGCCAAGGCUAAAUACUCGCAAGAGACCGAUAGCGAACCAGUACCGUGAGGGAAAGGUGAAAAGCACCGCGAGCAGCGGAGUGAAAAAGUUCCUGAAACCGUACGCCUACAAGCGGUCGGAGCGCCUUCGUGGCGUGACGGCGUGCCUUUUGCAUAAUGAACCUACGAGUUGCCGUCGCCGGCGAGGUUAAGUGCUAUGAAGCACGGAACCGAAGCGAAAGCGAGUCCCAACGAGGCGCCGAGUCAGCGGCGGCAGACGCGAAACCGAGUGAUCUACCCUUGUCCAGGUUGAAGUCCGGGUAACACCGGAUGGAGGACCGCACCAAUAAGCGUUGAAAAGCUUCUGGAUGAGGUGAGGGUAGGAGUGAAAGGCCAAUCAAACUCGGAGAUAGCUCGUACUCCCCGAAAUGCAUUUAGGUGCAGCCUCGGGAGUUCCCCGCGUGAGGUAGAGCGACUGAUCGGAUGCGAGGGCUUCACCGCCUAUCAAGUCCGGACAAACUCCGAAUGCGCGCGGGCCAAUCCCGGGAGUGAGGGCAUGGGUGCUAAGGUCCGUGCCCGAGAGGAGAAGAAUCCAGACCGCCGGCUAAGGCCCCGAAAUAUGGGUUAAGUUAAACUAACGAAGUGCGGUCCCGGUGACAGCUAGGAUGUUGGCUUGGAAGCAGCCAUUCAUUCAAAGAGUGCGUAACAGCUCACUAGUCGAGGGACUGUGCAUGGAUAAUAAUCGGGUAUGAAACCCAUUGCCGAAGCCGCGGGACACUUUAUGUGUCGGUAGGGGAGCAUUCCAGCCGCGCCGAAGCCGUGAGGACGACUCACGGUGGAGCAUCUGGAAAAGCAAAUGUAGGUAUAAGUAACGAUAAAGAGUGUGAGAUGCACUCUCGCCGUAAGACUAAGGUUUCCCGGGCAACGUUAAUCGGCCCGGGGUCAGUCGGGACCUAAGGAUAAGCCGAAAGGCGAGGCCGAUGGCAGAAAGGGUUAAUAUUCCCUUACUACCUUUAUGGGCGAUGCGGAGACGGAGAAGUGAAACUCCCGCGCGCUGACGGAAUAGCGCGUUAAAGGGUGUAGGCGCUGAUCGCGGCAGGCAAAUCCACCGCGAGAGCCGAACCUGACAGUACACAAAGCCUUCGGGCGGCGUGACAGCGGAGGUAAGCAAGCUCCCGAGAAAAUCCGCUAAGCUCAACCAUAGAGGUACCCGUACCGCAAACGGACACACGUAGUCGGGUAGAAUAUACCAAGGCGCUUGGAAGAUUCACGGUUAAGGAACUAGGCAAAUUGACCCCGUAACUUCGGAAUAAGGGGUCCUCACGCGAGUGAGGCGCAGAGAAUAGGUCCAGGCAACUGUUUAACAAAAACACAGGGCUGUGCGAAAUCGAAAGAUGAUGUAUACAGUCUGACACCUGCCCGGUGCCGGAAGGUUAAGAGGAGAUGUCACCGCAAGGGAAGCAUCGAAUUGAAGCCCCGGUAAACGGCGGCCGUAACUAUAACGGUCCUAAGGUAGCGAAAUUCCUUGUCGGGUAAGUUCCGACCUGCACGAAUGGUGUAAUGAUCCGGACGCUGUCUCAACCAUGAGCUCAGUGAAAUUGUAGUAUCGGUGAAGAUGCCGAUUACCCGCGAUGGGACGAAAAGACCCCGUGAACCUUUACUGCAGCUUAACGUUGUGACCGGGCAGCGGAUGUGUAGGAUAGGCCGGAGGCUAUGAAGGGGGCACGCCAGUGUUCUUGGAGCCGCCGUUGAAAUACGGCCCUUCCUCUGUCUGGUUCCUAACCCGCAAGAUGCGGGGACACCGUUUGGCGGGCAGUUUGACUGGGGUGGUCGCCUCCAAAAGCGUAACGGAGGCUUCUAAAGGUGCCCUCAGGCCGAUUGGUAACCGGCCGCAGAGUGUAAUGGCAAAAGGGCGCUUGACUGGGAGGCCGACAAGCCGAUCAGGUGGGAAACCAGAGCAUAGUGAUCCGGUGGUUCCGUAUGGAAGGGCCAUCGCUCAAAGGAUAAAAGGUACUCCGGGGAUAACAGGCUGAUCCCUCCCAAGAGCUCAUAUCGACGGAGUGGUUUGGCACCUCGAUGUCGGCUCGUCACAUCCUGGGGCUGGAGAAGGUCCCAAGGGUUGGGCUGUUCGCCCAUUAAAGUGGCACGCGAGCUGGGUUCAGAACGUCGUGAGACAGUUCGGUCUCUAUCUAUCGUGGGCGUUGGAAAUUUGCGUGGCUCUGACACUAGUACGAGAGGACCGUGUUGGACUGACCUCUGGUUUACCGGUUGUGCCGCCAGGCGCACCGCCGGGUAUCCAUGUCGGGAUCGGAUAAGCGCUGAAAGCAUCUAAGUGCGAAGCCGGCCACAAGAUUAGAUUUCCUCAUGAGGGUCGUCAAAGACGAUGACGUUGAUAGGAGGCAGGUGUAAAGACAGCGAUGUCAAAGCCGAGCCUUACUAAUUGCCCGAAACUUGCAGCC
rnacentral:rRNA from 1 species